CCUGUCAGUGGGGGGGGUGAAGAAGGCCAAGGUGGAGAGCUGGGAGAGAAGUGUGGGGGGGCUGGGAGGUGGAGGGGCACUGGGAUCACUGGUGGUGAGAAAGAAACCAGCGACCUCUGUCCCUAAACCUGAUACCACAGUAACUCCUGCAGGCUCUAACACACAGACAGUUUCAAAGGCAGCUGCUAUCGUACCGAUGGAGGCUACUAAGCCAAUCACAGCACAGAAUGGGUCGUCGUCGCUCAGCCUCCUGGGGGCCUAUUCCGACAGUGAUGACAGCAACAACAGUGAAUGAGAGAAAGGCUGGCGACGCUUUGGCUAAUCAAAAUGCUCAGUCUGUCUGAACUUCGUGAUAUGGAAUUGUGUUGAUAUGAUGUUGGGCAAUUCACCUGUUCCACACAACCCAGAACGGUUUGGGAUUUUCAAGAUCACAACACAAGGAUGGUUAUUAGGUGUAAGAAAGGGGUAAGCAAUUUGAUGCCUGUGAUUUAAAACUACUGUAUUUGUUUCAGGGUAUAUAGGAGAGUUAAAGGGCUGAAUUGUAUCAUCCUGCUUUGUGACCCUUACCCCCAAUGUAAUUAGUUUUCACCUGUGAUUUUAGAAAAUACAUUUUGAAAUGUCCAUCUACCAACUACCCUCCUCCAACUUUGUAAAGGUGUAUGUCAUGUUUUGACUUUUCAUUAAAUACAUAUUUUACCCUAAA